rnacentral:rRNA from 1 species
UGAGUACGAGAUGCUACGGCAUCGAAGCAGUCUAUGUCAUACUUCCAAGAAAAGCUUGCACUGUCAUAAACAAAGAAUGCCUGUACCAUAACCGACACAGGUGGGUAGGUAGAGUAUACUAAGGGGCGCGAGAUAACUCUCUCUAAGGAACUCGGCAAAAUGACUCCGUAACUUCGGGAGAAGGAGUGCCUUAUUUCUAAGGUUGCAAUAACAAGAUCCAAGCAACUGUUUACCAAAAACACAGGUCUCCGCUAAGUCGUAAGACGAUGUAUGGGGGCUGACGCCUGCCCAGUGCCAGAAGGUUAAAGAAGUUGGUUAGCAUUAGCGAAGCUGAUAACUGAAGCCCUGGUGAACGGCGGCCGUAACUAUAACGGUCCUAAGGUAGCGAAAUUCCUUGUCGGGUAAGUUCCGACCCGCACGAAAGGCGUAAUGAUUUGGAUACUGUCUCGGAGAGGGGCUCGGUGAAAUAGACUUGUCUGUGAAGAUGCGGACUACCUGCACCUGGACAGAAAGACCCUAUGAAGCUUUACUGUAACUUGAGAUUGAAAUUGGACUUUAUUUGCGCAGUAUAGGUGGGAGGCGUUGAGAAUAAUCUUGCGGGAUUGUUGGAGCCUCAGUGAGAUACCACUCUUGUAAUGUUAGAUUUCUAACUUUGUAUCAUUAUCUGGUCAAAGAACAGUUUCAGGCGGGCAGUUUGACUGGGGCGGUCGCCUCCCAAAGGGUAACGGAGGCGCACAAAGGUUUCCUCUGAACGGGUAGAAAUCGUAUCUAGAGUGUAAAGGCAUAAGGAAGCUUGACUGUGAGACCUACAAGUCGAGCAGGGACGAAAGUCGGUCUUAGUGAUCUGACGGUGCUGAGUGGAAAGGCCGUCACUCAACGGAUAAAAGUUACUCUAGGAUAACAGGCUGAUCUCCCCCAAGAGUUCACAUCGACGGGGAGGUUUGGCACCUCGAUGUCGGCUCAUCGCAUCCUGGGGCGGUAGUCCGUCCCAAGGGUUGGGCUGUUCGCCCAUGAAAGCGGUACGCGAGCUGGGUUCAGAACGUCGUGAGACAGUUCGGUCCAUAUCCGGUGUAGGCGUUAGAAUAUUGAGAGGAGCCUUCUCUAGUACGAGAGGACCGAGAAGGACAUACCUCUGGUGUACCAGUUAUCGUGCCAACGGUAAACGCUGGGUAGCUAUGUAUGGAGUGGAUAACCGCUGAAAGCAUCUAAGUGGGAAGCCCACCUCAAGAUAAGUAUUCUCAUC